CAGCCGUAAACUAUGCUCGCUAGGUGUCAGGCAUGGCGCGACCGUGUCUGGUGCCGCAGGGAAGCCGUGAAGCGAGCCACCUGGGAAGUACGGCCGCAAGGCUGAAACUUAAAGGAAUUGGCGGGGGAGCACCACAACAGGUGGAGCCUGCGGUUUAAUUGGAUUCAACGCCGGACAUCUCACCGGAUAAGACAGCAAUAUGUAGGCCAGGCUGAAGACCUUGCCUGAAUCGCUGAGAGGAGGUGCAUGGCGUAGACGUCU
rnacentral:rRNA from 1 species